ACGCUCGACACCUACUGGAGGCAGCAGUGGGGAAUAUUGCACAAUGGAGGAAACUCUGAUGCAGCGAUGCCGCGUGAGGGAAGAAGGUUUUCGGAUUGUAAACCUCUGUCUUUGGGGACGAUAAUGACGGUACCCAAGGAGGAAGCUCCGGCUAACUACGUGCAGCAGCCGCGGUAAUCUGAGCGGGCUGGCAAGGC
rnacentral:rRNA from 1 species